ensembl:snRNA U4 U4 spliceosomal RNA
AGCUUUGUGCAAUGGCAGUGUGGUUUAUCCAAGGUGUGGUUAUUGCUAAUUGUAAACUUUUCCCAGUAACCCUCUGUGAUGAAUUGAAAUAUAGUUGGCAUUGGCAAUUUUUGACAAUUGCUAUGGAGA